CUUCCGUAGGUGAACCUGCGGAAGGAUCAUUAUCGUAGGGCUUCGGCCCUGUCGAGAUAGAACCCUUGCCUUUUUGAGUACCUUUUCGUUUCCUCGGCAGGCUCGCCUGCCAAUGGGGACCCCAAAAAACACUUUGCAGUACCUGUAAACAGUCUGAACAAACUUUAAAAAUUAAAACUUUCAACAACGGAUCUCUUGGUUCUGGCAUCGAUGAAGAACGCAGCGAAAUGCGAUAAGUAGUGUGAAUUGCAGAAUUCAGUGAAUCAUCGAAUCUUUGAACGCACAUUGCGCCCUUUGGUAUUCCUUAGGGCAUGCCUGUUCGAGCGUCAUUUAAACCUUCAAGCUCAGCUUGGUGUUGGGUGACUGUCCGCUUGCGGACUCGCCUCAAAAUGAUUGGCGGCCGGUACUUUUGGCUUCGAGCGCAGCAGAAACGCGAACUCGAGGCCUGUGUGCUGGCUCCCAGAAGCUAUCUUCACAAUUUGACCUCGGAUCAGGUAGGGUUCCCGAUUUUUUU
rnacentral:rRNA from 1 species